AUUGAACGCUGGCGGCAUGCCUUACACAUGCAAGUCGAACGGCAGCACGGGUGCUUGCACCUGGUGGCGAGUGGCGAACGGGUGAGUAAUACAUCGGAACAUGUCCUGUAGUGGGGGAUAGCCCGGCGAAAGCCGGAUUAAUACCGCAUACGAUCUACGGAUGAAAGCGGGGGACCUGCGGGCCUCGCGCUAUAGGGUUGGCCGAUGGCUGAUUAGCUAGUUGGUGGGGUAAAGGCCUACCAAGGCGACGAUCAGUAGCUGGUCUGAGAGGACGACCAGCCACACUGGGACUGAGCCACGGCCCAGACUCCUACGGGAGGCAGCAGUGGGGAAUUUUGGACAAUGGGCGAAAGCCUGAUCCAGCAAUGCCGCGUGUGUGAAGAAGGCCUUCGGGUUGUAAAGCACUUUUGUCCGGAAAGAAAUCCUUGGCCCUAAUACGGUCGGGGGAUGACGGUACCGGAAGAAUAAGCACCGGCUAACUACGUG
rnacentral:rRNA from 1 species